rnacentral:rRNA from 1 species
GACGUAGGGCGCGAGCGUUGUCCGGAUUUAUUGGGCGUAAAGAGCUCGUAGGCGGUUUGUCGCGUCUGCUGUGAAAACUCAGGGCUUAACCCUGAGCCUGCAGUGGGUACGGGCAGACUAGAGCGUGGUAGGGGAGAUCGGAAUUCUUGGUGUAGCGGUGAAAUGCGUAGAUAUCAAGAGGAACACCUGAGGUGAAGACGGGUUGCUGGGCCGACACCGACGCUGAGUGCGCGAAAGCCAGGGAGCAAACGGG